rnacentral:rRNA from 1 species
AGCGAACGCUGGCGGCAGGCUUAACACAUGCAAGUCGAGCGGGCAUCCUGGAGGUGUCUGCGGCUGACGGGUGAGUAACGCGUGGGAACGUGCCCUUCGUUUCGGAAUAACUCUUGGAAACUUGAGCUAAUACCGGAUACGUGCGAGAGCAGAAAGGUUUAUAUGACGAAGGAUCGGCCCGCGUCUGAUUAGCUAGUUGGUGAGGUUAUGGCUCACCAAGGCGACGAUCAGUAGCUGGUGUGAGAGGAUGAUCAGACACACUGGGAGUGAGACACGGCCCAGACUCCUACGGGAGGCAGCAGUGGGGAAUAUUGGACAAUGGCGGGAACCCUGAUCCAGCCAUGCCGCGUGAGUGAUGACGGCCUUAGGGUUGUAAAGCUCUUUUAUCCGGGACGAUAAUGACGGUACCGGAGGAAUAAGCCCCGGCUAACUUCGUG